rnacentral:rRNA from 1 species
CCUACGGGCGACUGCAGUGAGGAAUAUUGGUCAAUGGGCGCGAGUCUGAACCAGCCAAGCCGCGUGCAGGAUGACUGCCCUACGGGUUGUAAACUUCUUUUGUAAAGGAAUAAAGGCAGGCACGUGUGCCUUUUUGUAUGUACCUUAUGAAUAAGGAUCGGCUAACUCCGUGCCAGCAGCCGCGGUAAUACGGAGGAUCCGAGCGUUAUCCGGAUUUAUUGGGUUUAAAGGGAGCGUAGGUGGGUUGUUAAGUCAGUGGUGAAAUUUUGCGGCUCAACCGUAGAAUUGCCAUUGAUACUGGCAGGCUUGAGUACAGUUGAGGUAGGCGGAAUGCGUGGUGUAGCGGUGAAAUGCUUAGAGAUCACGCAGAACUCCGAUUGCGAAGGCAGCCUACCAAGCUACCACUGACGUUGAGGCACGAAAGCGUGGGUAUCAAACAGGAUUAGAUACCCUUGUAGUC